AGAGUUUGAUCAUGGCUCAGAUUGAACGCUGGCGGCAUGCCUUACACAUGCAAGUCGAACGGUAACGCGGGGCAACCUGGCGACGAGUGGCGAACGGGUGAGUAACGCAUCGGAACGUGCCCAGUAGUGGGGGAUAGCCCGGCGAAAGCCGGAUUAAUACCGCAUACGACCUAUGGGUGAAAGGGGGGGAUCGCAAGACCUCUCGCUAUUGGAGCGGCCGAUGUCAGAUUAGGUAGUUGGUGGGGUAAAGGCCUACCAAGCCUGCGAUCUGUAGCUGGUCUUAGAGGACGACCAGCCACACUGGGACUGAGAAACGGCCCAGACUCCUACGGGAGGCAGCAGUGGGGAAUUUUGGACAAUGGGCGCAAGCCUGAUCCAGCCAUGCCGCGUGCGGGAAGAAGGCCUUCGGGUUGUAAACUGCUUUUGUCAGGGAAGAAAAGCUUCGGGCUAAUACCUCGAGGUCAUGACGGUACCUGAAGAAUAAGCACCGGCUAACUACGUGCCAGCAGCCGCGGUAAUACGUAGGGUGCAAGCGUUAAUCGGAAUUACUGGGCGUAAAGCGUGCGCAGGCGGUUGUGCAAGACAGGUGUGAAAUCCCCGGGCUUAACCUGGGAACUGCACUUGUGACUGCACGACUUGAGUACGGCAGAGGGGGAUGGAAUUCCGCGUGUAGCAGUGAAAUGCGUAGAUAUGCGGAGGAACACCGAUGGCGAAGGCAGUCCCCUGGGCCUGUACUGACGCUCAUGCACGAAAGCGUGGGGAGCAAACAGGAUUAGAUACCCUGGUAGUCCACGCCCUAAACGAUGUCAACUGGUUGUUGGGAGGGUUUCUUCUCAGUAACGUAGCUAACGCGUGAAGUUGACCGCCUGGGGAGUACGGCCGCAAGGUUGAAACUUAAAUGAAUUGACGG
rnacentral:rRNA from 1 species